GCGCCCUUAGCUCAGCUGGAUAGAGCGUCUGACUACGAAUCAGAAGGUCGCAGGUUCGAAUCCUGCAGGGCGCA
rnacentral:tRNA from 1 species